GCUACUUCGGGAAAAUUUCAAAGGGAAAGGAAGAUCAACAUGGUGGGUUUGAGCUUUCUCUGUCUUUGCCUGCUAAAAGCUGAUGAGUUCCUCUCAAAUUUGGGAGCAGCCUGCAGGAGAAGCCUCGGCUAAGCUGCCACCGAGACAGCGCGGAGCUCGCUGGGGAGCAGAAGCAUGAGGGGAACGAGAUUUGUAGAGACAGAAAGGACGGGAGGAGAAGCUGGUAAUUUUCCAGUAUCAUGACGAACACUUGGACAUCUCCUUCUGCAGUGGCUGGAGAAUUGUCCUGGCCCCUGGGGACCAGAGGGGUCCAUGCAGGCACAGCUGUUCCCCAGCCACCUCUCCCAGGAAGAUGUGACCUUGUCCUUCUUGGGAAGAGUCUUCUUGGCUGGUCAGGGAAGAUAUGUUCCUGCCUUGUCAACCUCCUCGAGCACCUCAGAGUGGAAAUGGCCAUCGAUAAAUGGAUUUUUCUUGGCUCUCGCCCUGCCUGGUUUAAUUCUUGGGUAAUUUACUGUGCCAUUUCCUGACGUGCUGCUGAAAUGUGCAGCAGGGAGAGGCAAGAGAGGAGCCAGAGCUCGUCUGAGGAGAUGGGGGUCAGGUCCUGGUGGAGGAGGGGAUGUCCCAGAGUGUCACUGAGUGCAGCUGAUGUGGUGUCCAGAGAGGGUUGCUGUUAAUUGAAUUGAAGAAGACAAAUGGCCCUCAGCUCCGUCUCCAAAGGACAAUAACUGCACUGAUAAUGAAGCUGAACUCCCUCAUCCUGAUCCCAGGCAUCCAUGGAGUUAUGUAAUUGAUGGAAUAUCAUUAAGAAAGAGGAAGAUGUCCAAAUACAGGCAGGGGGGGAAAGGGGGGAAGUUUACAGAAUUUGCUGAGAUCUGAUGCUUACAGCUCCAGAGCCAGCUUUUCUGAAGCAUGGAGACCUUUGAGACACAUUUUUCAUCCUCCUUCCCUGUUUUUUUUCAAGGCAAAAUUACAUUCCAAGCAAUGAUUGCAGUGACAUUACGCUCAAGCGAUCAAAAACUGUUUUGCUGCACCAGUGUCAGCUGCUAAAGGGACAAGUGCCUGUGAUGAAUGUUUGA
rnacentral:lncRNA from 1 species